UACGUAGGGCGCAAGCGUUGUCCGGAAUUAUUGGGCGUAAAGAGCUCGUAGGCGGCCUGUCGCGUCCGCUGUGAAAUCCCGGGGCUUAACCCCGGGCGUGCAGUGGAUACGGGCUGGCUAGAGGCAGGCAGGGGAGAACGGAAUUCCCGGUGUAGCGGUGAAAUGCGUAGAUAUCUGGAGGAACACCGGUGGCGAAGGCGGCAUCCUGGACCGGCAUUGACGCUGAGGCGCGAAAGCCAGGGGAGCAAACGGG
rnacentral:rRNA from 1 species